rnacentral:rRNA from 1 species
UACAGAGGGGGCAAGCGUUGUUCGGAAUUACUGGGCGUAAAGCGCACGUAGGCGGUGGCGCAUGUCAGAUGUGAAAGCCCUGGGCUUAACCUAGGAAUUGCAUUUGAAACUGCGCCGCUAGAGGCCGGAAGAGGGUAGUGGAAUUCCCAGUGUAGAGGUGAAAUUCGUAGAUAUUGGGAAGAACACCGGUGGCGAAGGCGCACAUCUGGCCCAAUACUGACGCUAAAGCGCGAAAGCUAGGGGAGCAAACGGG